rnacentral:rRNA from 1 species
AACGUAGGAGGCAAGCGUUAUCCGGAGUUACUGGGCGUAAAGCGCAUGUAGGCGGUUGGGCAAGUGGCGAGUGAAAGCUCCCGGCUAAACUGGGAGAGGACACGUCAGACUGCCCGGCUAGAGGAUGGUAGAGGGGCGCAGAAUUCCGGGUGUAGCGGUGAAAUGUGCAGAUAUCAGGAGGAACACCGGUGGCGAAGGCGGUUCUCUGGGACGGUACUGACGCUGAGGAGCGAAAGCGUGGGGAGCGAACAGG